UACGUAGGGGGCAAGCGUUGUCCGGAUUCAUUGGGCGUAAAGAGCGUGUAGGCGGCCUGGAAGGUCAGCUGUGAAAACUCGAGGCUCAACCUCGAGACGUCGGUUGAAACCACCUGGCUAGAGUCCGGAAGAGGAGUGUGGAAUUCCCGGUGUAGCGGUGGAAUGCGCAGAUAUCAGGAGGAACACCGGUGGCGAAGGCGGGUCUCUGGGCCGUUACUGACGCUGAGGAGCGAAAGCGUGGGGAGCGAACAGG
rnacentral:rRNA from 1 species